CCUGCACCUAGAGGCUUUGCAGGUGUGGAUGCUGUUUUACCUGUGGGUUAGUAGGUGGCAGAGAGGAGAUAUACUAUGUCUACACUCAGUUUUCUAACAUAAACAUCGGAAUGAUUAGUAGCCUAAUCAU